GAGUUUGAUCGUGGCUCAGGAUGAACGCUGGCGGCGUGCCUAACACAUGCAAGUCGAACGGAGUUAUGCAGAGGAAGUUUUCGGAUGGAAUCGGCGUAACUUAGUGGCGGACGGGUGAGUAACGCGUGGGAAACCUGCCCUGUACCGGGGGAUAACACUUAGAAAUAGGUGCUAAUACCGCAUAAGCGCACAGCUUCACAUGAAGCAGUGUGAAAAACUCCGGUGGUACAGGAUGGUCCCGCGUCUGAUUAGCCAGUUGGCAGGGUAACGGCCUACCAAAGCGACGAUCAGUAGCCGGCCUGAGAGGGUGAACGGCCACAUUGGGACUGAGACACGGCCCAAACUCCUACGGGAGGCAGCAGUGGGGAAUAUUGCACAAUGGGGGAAACCCUGAUGCAGCGACGCCGCGUGAGUGAAG
rnacentral:rRNA from 1 species